rnacentral:rRNA from 1 species
AUGAUCUCUUCUUCUUCCCAAGCGUCGCCCGCUGGCUUCCUCCAAUGCCUCACGAAGGCUAACAUCUCAGUGUUCGAGCAGGGCGAAGAUUUGUUCAACACGCAGCUUGACAAAUACAUUAGGAACCCAAAGUUCCUCGCAAAUACCACCGGGAGGCCGCUCUAUGUCGUGAUGCCGGCGAAUGCUCACCACGUCCAGAUCGCCGUGCGCUGCGGUAGCCUAAACGGGGUGCCCCUGCGCGUGCGCAGCGGCGGGCACGACUAUGAGGGCCUGUCGUACCGGUCCGUGGGCAUCGAGGGCUUCGCGAUGCUCGACAUGUCGGAGCUACGCACCGUGGUCGUCGACAACCAGACGUCGACGGUGUGGGUGGAGUCCGGCGCGACGCUCGGCGAGCUCUAUUAUGCCAUAUCAAAGGCGAGCAACCUUCUUGGGUUCCCGGCCGGCGUGUGCUUGGCCGUCGGCGUCGGAGGCCAUUUUAGCGGCGGUGGCUUUGGCACGCUGAUGCGCAAGCACGGGCUAGCGGUCGAUAACGUCAUUGAUGCCGAGUUGGUGGACGCCAAUGGCACGCUCCUGAACAAGACCACCAUGGGGGACGACGUCUUCUGGGCCAUUCGAGGCGGCGGCGGCGGGAGCUUUGGCGUCGUGCUGAAGUGGCAGGUGAGGCUCGUGCCCGUCCCGGCGACGGUGUCGGUGUUCGAGGUCUCGGUGUCCAACAGCCAGGGCGCCGCCGUGCACGCGGUCACCAAGUGGCAGAAGGUGGCGCCGGCCCUGCCGGAGGAGCUGUACAUCAGGGCGCUUGUCCAGAACGGCAUGGCCGUCUUCCGAGCAGUGUUCCUCGGCACGUGUGACGCGCUCCUCCCGCUGAUGAGCAGGAGCGAUGGCAUCCCGGAGCUGAAUUUGAGCCGCUCCGACUGCAAGGAGAUGACCUGGAUCGAGUCCAUGGCCUACAUCAACAGCGCGACCGUGGAGGACCUCACGAAGCGGACCACCUCUGAGUUCGACUCCAGCCAUGGCUUCAAGGCGACGACGGACUACGUCCGGCGCGCCAUUCGCCGGGAGGUGUGGGCCAAGAUCUUCUACAAGCAGCUCAGGCAGCCCAACGCGCAGGUCAUCUUGGUCCCAUACGGCGGGAAGAUGAGCAACGUGGCAGAGGACGCGACGCCGUACCCGCACCGCGCCGGCGUGCUGUACAGCAUGCAGUUGUACAACUACUGGCCGGUGGAUUCGGCAUAUAACGGAGCCAUGGAGACCAAGUGGGUCAGGGACAUGUACGCCUUCAUGGCGCCGUACGUGAGCUCCAAAUCCAGGCCAAGGGGAGCCUACUUCAACUGCAGGGACCUGGAUCUCGGCCCCAAUUGGGGGCCGAAAUACUUCAAGGGUAACUACCAGAGGCUCACCAAGGCCAAGGCUAAGAUCGACCCCCACAACUACUUCCGCAAUGAGCAAAGCAUCCCCCUGCCAAAACGAGCAUCUUUAUUUUUUGACGCGAGAAGCAGGAGCUCCGCUUUUACAUUGAAGUAG